UCAACUCAUUUUAAUUUUUAAGGAUAUAUUUUUAAAAUAUGUUAUUAGUUACAACACAUUACAAUUAAUUUAAAAAUAUACAGAAAAGAGGAUCUUCAAAUUUUAUCGUAUAUAUAUAUAACAUUAUGUCAAUGUCAUACAUAUUAUUGGUCAUUAUAUCUCAGAGAACUAAACUCUAAGAAUUAAAUUGAAAUGAUGAAUUAUUUAUUAUUUAUAUAUUGACUAGACUUGUUCAUUUACUAACAAUUGUGAAUGUCUACUAUUAAAACCUUGAAAUGUGUUUCAAAACAAAUUGAAAUCUAAACAUGAAAAUGUAAUAGAAACUAUGAAAAACAAAUAAAAAAAAGAUAUGCUAACAAUACAAAAAGAGUAAUAUAUCUAUCUAUACUAAUAAAGUUGGGUUUAGUCUCUCCUCGUAAAGCCACCUUAUCUCUUUGCAUAGGGCAUUUGUUGACUCUCUUUAAUAACUAUCAAGUAUCGAACUAAAAAUCUAAUAUUAGGCCUUUCAAAUAAUCUAAACCCAGGAAAAAAACUAAAAUUUUAAGCCCACCAACAAUGUGCAGAUCAGAGUUCUUCUCUGCUCUGCGUAGCCCCCCUCGAAUCUGAUCCCCUUCAUUCUGUUGACGGAAUAACUCCUAUUGAUGAUGGGUGCAAUCAAUUAACCCCACUAUCUGUUCUUCAAUGCCGACUUCUCACCUCCCACAUCAACGGAUGCUACUAUAUUAUUUGUCAUCAAAGUGCUCAUGAGAAAUCACAAAUCUUCUUCAAAUCAUAGUAGCCUAAAAACCCUAGAAGAAUACCAUCCAGGAACGGCAAGAAUGCAGUUGUUACACGUCUUCUGCGGUUUUGGGAGGCUAGGAAUGUAAAGAAAGGACGAGAGCUCACGUCUUCCUCGAUGAGAAGUCUACGCUGGACUGGUCCAAGGGUCAAUUGGUGCUUAUAGACUGAACCGCUAUACUUAAAGGAUUCUCAGUUCAGAGAAGGGGACAGAGCAGAGUAUCAGUUCAGAAUGACAGCUACUGUACUCGACAAUGUAACUCAGGUUCCUCUAUAGUUUUAAAUCCAUUCUUGAGAAAUUCCUUUUCGGAUCAUUAAUUGAUGUGUUUAUAAACCUUCAGGUUACUAAUCUAUUUUAAAUUCGAGGAACUCAUCCUAAAGGUUUCUUUGAAUCGAUUAGGCUAACGUGGACUAAACUCCUGAAUGGUUUAGUAGAUUUUAUCACCAGAUAAACUUACAGGUUACACACUUUUGCUAGAAUUUUCUGUGAUUUUCUUUGAAAAUUAAUCAAUACUCUAUGCAGAAACAAAUGCUCAAGUUUCUUCGACUUCAGCUGUCAUGUUCAAUACAUGUGCUUAAGCUGGACGGUUAUGUUCGUCUCCUCCUCGCUCUCUUCCCAACCAGUAGGGUAACAGUAAAUGACUGAUGCUUGGAAGUUAAAAGUAAUUGAGCUUGAGCUGAAAAGUGAAAGACUGGCCAACUAUCUUCUGUAGGCAUUGUGGGAGAGCUGCGUUCAAGGGAACUUCUACACCUGCACCCUGUGCCCAGAAUCUCUUACGGCAACCAACGUCCGCCUGUUCAGCGUUUUGUAGACCAGGUUGUGUUGUAUCUGGAUUCAAAAUUAAAAUGCUCAAAUAAAUCCAACUCUAACCUUCAUAAGUCCACGCCGAGAAGGUGAUGAUCACCCGACAUGCCUGGUGCUGUCAGCAAAACUAAACGGCCUACUCCUAAGCUGAACAAGAGUGGACCAGAGAACAAGACAAAAGCUGGUGACAAUGUAUUCAUUGUACAAAGCCCGGUGGACCCAUCACCAGAACCUCCUCAAAAUGUUGAGGUCGUUAGUUCCGCAGAGAAAACAACAGUUUCAGACGAAGCUCCUUCAAAUAAGAAAGCCCAAAACAUUGUUCCAACAGUGGAGAUUAUGUGCCUCCAACAUAGUAUUAAGAUAAGUCUUUUGUCAAAAUAAAAACCGAGUAUAAAGAUGCAGUUGCAUAUUUGAGUUUCUAAGUGUUAGUCCAAUAAUGAUGUCGUUCCUUAUUUUUUUGUCCAACCCAUCAUGAUUGGUUAUUGUCGUUUUAUGUUUUAGUUGGUUUUAAAAAAGCUUGGGUUUUAA